CAGAUAUUUACAGAUGCUAGACAGUAUGUCAUCCACUUUGGAAAGGCUGAUCCCGUCUUAAAGACUGGUCCCGCUAGCAUGAUCCAAGAGUUGGAUGUAAGCCGUUCACUGACUCUAUCAGAGCGAGCAAUUGCUCUUGCUCUUGCUAUUUCAUUGGAUAAUGAUUACUUCUCUAGGCAUGGUGGCUAGGGAAUCCCUUUUGUUGCAAUGGAGGAGUAGAUUGAUUCCUUUGUUUCUCUUUUUUCAAAGAGACCAACAGUUUGGUGUUGCAACGAACAGGCGUUUUCUGUUCCAUGGAAAUAAUGUAUAUAUGCUACUGUUGCUACUAUCAUAUACAUAUCAAAAACUACACCCAGUUUUGUAAUAGUCUACUUGCAUAUUUGCAUAUAUUUAAUAAUAAUCU